rnacentral:rRNA from 1 species
CAUUAUCGAAUUGAGUUCUAUAUUCUAUUCUCUACACACACAAUGUGCACCAACUGUAGGUUUGACUCGAAAGAGUGAGACCUAUGUAUUUCUACAUCACACACCAUGUUGGUUAUGUAUGGUUAUAUGGGUUAUCCAUUGGAUUUUAUACUAUAUACAACUUUCAGCAACGGAUCUCUUGGUUCUCGCAUCGAUGAAGAACGCAGCGAAUUGCGAUAAGUAAUGUGAAUUGCAGAUUUUCAGUGAAUCAUCGAAUCUUUGAACGCACCUUGCGCUCCUUGGCAUUCCGAGGAGCAUGCCUGUUUGAGUGUCAUUUGAAUUCUCAACCAUGUUGUCUUGUUGACUGACAUGGAUUGGACUUGGAGGUUUGCUGGCAGGUACACAAGUUGUACUUUUCAGCUCUUCUGAAAUACAUUAGCGAUGGGUUUCGAGUGCAAGUCAAUUCCCUUUAAGAGAGGGGGUCGACACACCAACUAGCCUUUGAUGUGAUAAUGAUCAUCGUAGUGAAUUUUUGGUAUUGCAUCUCAAUAGACUUAUAUCGCUUCUAAUUUACAAGUACAAGGAAAAGUGUGUGCUUAGCUACUAGUCAGGGCUUGUGCAAGGCUUUGGUGAACACAGCACGAAAUAAAAUGUUCCUUUGACUUGACUUUUAUGAACUUGACCUCAAAUCAGGUAGGACUACCCGCUGAACUUAAGCAUAUCAAUAAGCGGAGGAAAAGAAACUAACAAGGAUUCCCCUAGUAACUGCGAGUGAAGCGGGAAAAGCUCAAAUUUUGAAUCUGGCAGUCUUUUGGCUGUC